rnacentral:rRNA from 1 species
GACGAACGCUAGCGGCGUGCCUAAUACAUGCAAGUCGAACGCUUCUUUCCUCCCGAGUGCUUGCACUCAAUUGGAAAGAGGAGUGGCGGACGGGUGAGUAACACGUGGGUAACCUACCCAUCAGAGGGGGAUAACACUUGGAAACAGGUGCUAAUACCGCAUAACAGUUUAUGCCGCAUGGCAUAAGAGUGAAAGGCGCUUUCGGGUGUCGCUGAUGGAUGGACCCGCGGUGCAUUAGCUAGUUGGUGAGGUAACGGCUCACCAAGGCCACGAUGCAUAGCCGACCUGAGAGGGUGAUCGGCCACACUGGGACUGAGACACGGCCCAGACUCCUACGGGAGGCAGCAGUAGGGAAUCUUCGGCAAUGGACGAAAGUCUGACCGAGCAACGCCGCGUGAGUGAAGAAGGUUUUCGGAUCGUAAAACUCUGUUGUUAGAGAAGAACAAGGACGUUAGUAACUGAACGUCCCGGA